rnacentral:rRNA from 1 species
AAUCAACGCUGGCGGCGUGCCUCAGACAUGCAAGUCGAACGAUUAAAGCUCUCUUCGGAGAGUGUAUAGAGUGGCGCACGGGUGAGUAACACGUAAGUAAUCUACCUUUGAGUGGGGAAUAACAGUCGGAAACGACUGCUAAUACCGCAUAAUGCAGCGGCAUCGCAAGAUGACAGUUGUUAAAGGAGCAAUCCGCUUAAAGAGGAGCUUGCGGCAGAUUAGCUAGUUGGUAAGGUAAUGGCUUACCAAGGCUACGAUCUGUAUCCGGUCUAAGAGGACGGUCGGACACACUGACACUGAAUAACGGGUCAGACUCCUACGGGAGGCAGCAGUCGGGAAUUUUGGGUCAAUGGGCGAAAGCCUGACCCAGCAACGCCGCGUGAAGGAUGAAAUCCCUCGGGAUGUAAACUUCGCAAGAACGGGAAGAAUAAGUAGGGGACAAGUACCCCUAUGAUGACGGUACCGUUUGUAAGCUCCGGCUAACUCCGUGCCAGCAGCC